GAUUCGAUGGCGUAGCUGGUUAAAGCAUUCAAAUAACAAAUACGGACUGUUUUACAGAAGGGCGCAGUUCGAGCCUGCGCCGAAUCA